rnacentral:rRNA from 1 species
AUUGAACGCUGGCGGCAGGCCUAACACAUGCAAGUCGAACGAGUGGCGGACGGGUGAGUAAUGUCUGGGAAUCUGCCUUAUGGUGGGGGAUAACGAAUGGAAACGGUCGCUAAUACCGCAUACCAUCAAAUGUGCCCAUGUGGGAUUAGCUUGUUGGUGGGGUAACGGCCCACCAAGGCGACGAUCCCUAGCUGGUCUGAGAGGAUGAUCAGCCACACUGGAACUGAGACACGGUCCAGACUCCGACGGGAGGCAGCAGUGGGGAAUAUUGGACAAUGGGCGCAAGCCUGAUGCAGCCAGGCCGCGUGGAUGAAGAAGGCCUUCGGGUUGUAAAGUCCUUUCGUCGGGGAGGCGGUACCCACAGAAGAAGCACCGGCUAACUCCGUGCCAGCAGCCGCGGUAAUUC